rnacentral:rRNA from 1 species
AGCGGCGGAUGGGUGAGUAACACGUGGGGAACCUGCCCCUAAGUCUGGGAUACCAUUUGGAAACAGGUGCUAAUACCGGAUAAUAAAGCAGAUCGCAUGAUCAGCUUUUGAAAGGCGGCGUAAGCUGUCGCUAAGGGAUGGCCCCGCGGUGCAUUAGCUAGUUGGUAAGGUAACGGCUUACCAAGGCGACGAUGCAUAGCCGAGUUGAGAGACUGAUCGGCCACAUUGGGACUGAGACACGGCCCAAACUCCUACGGGAGGCAGCAGUAGGGAAUCUUCCACAAUGGACGCAAGUCUGAUGGAGCAACGCCGCGUGAGUGAAGAAGGUUUUCGGAUCGUAAAGCUCUGUUGUUGGUGUAGAAGGAUAGAGGUAGUAACUGGCCUUUAUUUGACGGUAAUCAACCAGAAAGUCACGGCUAACUACGUGCCAGUAGCCGCGGUAAUACGUAGGUGGCAAGCGUUGUCCGGAUUUAUUGGGCGUAAAGCGAGCGCAGGCGGAAAAAUAAGUCUAAUGUGAAAGCCCUCGGCUUAACCGAGGAACUGCAUCGGAAACUGUUUUUCUUGAGUGCAGAUGAGGAGAGUGGAACUCCAUGUGUAGCGGUGGAAUGCGUAGAUAUAUGGAAGAACACCAGUGGCGAAGGCGGCUCUCUGGUCUGCAACUGACGCUGAGGCUCGAAAGCAUGGGUAGC